AAUAUUGGACAAUGGGGGCAACCCUGAUCCAGCCAUGCCGCGUGUGUGAAGACGGUCUUCGGAUUGUAAAGCACUUUAAGUUGGGAGGAAGGGCUUUAGGUUAAUACCCUGAAGUUUUGACGUUACCAACAGUAUAAGCACCGGCUAUCUCUGUGCCAUCCGCCGCUGUAAUACAGAGGGUGCAAGCGUUAAUCGGAAUUAGUGGGAGCAACGCGCGCGUAGGUGGUUCAGUAAGAUGGGUGUAACAUCCCCGGGCUUAACCUGGGAACUGCUUUCAUAACUGCUGAGCGAGAGUACGGUAGAGGGUAGUGGAAUUUCCUGUGUAGCGGUGAAAUGCGUAGAUAUAGGAAGGAACACCAGUGGCGAAGGCGACUACCUGGACUGAUACUGACACUGAGGUGCGAAAGCGUGGGGAGCAAA
rnacentral:rRNA from 1 species